rnacentral:rRNA from 1 species
GAACGCUAGCGGCAGGCUUACACAUGCAAGUCGAGGGGUAUGUCCUACUUGUAGGAAAGACGACCGGCGCACGGGUGAGUAACGCGUAUGCAACCUACCUCUAAGUGGAGCAUAGCCCGAAGAAAUUCGGAUUAAUACUCCAUAAUAUUUUUGAAUCACCUGGUUUAAAAAUUAAAGUUCCGACGGUUAGAGAUGGGCAUGCGUGUCAUUAGCUGGUUGGUGAGGUAACGGCUCACCAAGGCUACGAUGACUAGGGGGCCUGAGAGGGUGAUCCCCCACACUGGUACUGAGACACGGACCAGACUCCUACGGGAGGCAGCAGUGAGGAAUAUUGGGCAAUGGAGGCAACUCUGACCCAGCCAUGCCGCGUGCAGGAUGACGGCCCUAUGGGUUGUAAACUGCUUUUCUGAGAGAAGAAUCCCCCAUACGUGUAUGGGGUUGCCGGUAUCUCAGGAAUAAGCAUCGGCUAACUCCGUGCCAGCAGCCGCGGUAAUACGGAGGAUGCAAGCGUUAUCCGGAUUCAUUGGGUUUAAAGGGUGUGCAGGCGGAAGAAUAAGUCAGUGGUGAAAGCCCGCAGCUUAACUGCGGAACUGCCAUUGAUACUGUUUUUCUUGAGUUCGGUUGAGGUAGGCGGAAUGUGUAAUGUAGCGGUGAAAUGCUUAGAUAUUACACAGAACACCGAUUGCGAAGGCAGCUUACUAAACCGAAACUGACGCUGAGGCACGAAAGCGUGGGGAGCGAACAGGAUUAGAUACCCUGGUAGUCCACGCUGUAAACUAUGAUCACUCGCUGUUGGCAAUACAUCGUCAGCGGCUGAGCGAAAGCAUUAAGUGAUCCACCUGGGGAGUACGG